GAUGAACGCUGGCGGCGUGCCUAAUACAUGCAAGUCGAGCGAACAGACGAGGAGCUUGCUCCUCUGACGUUAGCGGCAGACGGGUGAGUAACACGUGGAUACCCUCCCUAUAAGACUGGGAUAACUUCGGGAAUCCGGAGCUAAUACCGGAUAAUAUAUUGAACCGCGUGGUUCAAUGGUGAAAUACGGUUGUGCUGGCACGUAUAGCUGGAUCUGCGCCGCAUUAGCUGGUUGGUAAGGUAACGGCUUACCAAGGCGACGAUGCGUAGCCGGCCGGCGAGGGUGGGCAGCCGCACUGGAACUGAGACCCGCCCCAUACUCCUACGGGAGGCGGCAGGAGGGAAUCGUCCGCAAGGGGCGAAAGCCUUACCGAGAAACGCCGCGGGAGUGAGGAGGGUCUUCGGAUCCUAAAACUCUGCUUUUGGGGAAGAACAAAUUUGUACGUAACUAUGCGCGUCUGUACGGUACCUAAUCAGAAAGGCACGGCUAACUUCGUU
rnacentral:rRNA from 1 species